GCCCAGGUGGCGGAAUUGGUAGACGCGCAUGGUUGAGGGCCAUGUUCUCAUUGUGAGAGUGCUGGUUCGAUUCCAGUCCUGGGCA
rnacentral:tRNA from 1 species